CCAGGCUUCUCCAAACUCCGUCCCUCCAGAUGUUGCUGAACUACAACUCCCAUGAUUCUCAACCUAUCUGAGUUGUAUUACAGCAACAUCUGGAGGGCCGGAGUUUGGGGAAGCCUGU